rnacentral:rRNA from 1 species
ACCUGAUCCAGCAACGCCGCGUGAGGGAUGACGGCCUUCGGGUUGUAAACCUCUUUCAGCAGGGACGAAGCGCAAGUGACGGUACCUGCAGAAGAAGCACGGCCAACUACGUGCCAGCAGCCGCGGUAAUACGUAGGGUGCGAGCGUUGUCCGGAAUUAUUGGGCGUAAAGGGCUCGUAGGCGGUUUGUCGCGUCAGGAGUGAAAACUCGGGGCUUAACUCCGAGCCUGCUUCUGAUACGGGCAGACUAGAGGUAUGCAGGGGAGAACGGAAUUCCUGGUGUAGCGGUGAAAUGCGCAGAUAUCAGGAGGAACACCGGUGGCGAAGGCGGUUCUCUGGGCAUUACCUGACGCUGAGGAGCGAAAGUGUGGGGAGCGAACAGGAUUAGAUACCCUGGUAGUCCACACCGUAAACGUUGGGCGCUAGGUGUGGGACUCAUUCCACGAGUUCCGUGCCGCAGCUAACGCAUUAAGCGCCCCGCCUGGGGAGUACGGCCGCAAGGCUA